UGAACUAGGGCGAGAGACAUGGACGGAGGAGAAAAACAUUUGCUGGACGAGCCGAAGCUCGAGGCGAAAAGGAGGAGAAAGAAGUUCACAAAGUAAGAAGACUGAGACUUGGUUCCAUGGACAAAAAAGCUUGAAAGAUUCUAAGCUGAAGCGGAGCGACAAAAACACGAGGGGCGAAGGACGAGCGAGAGACACGAGGAGCUAGGACGUGCUACAGCUAAGCUAGCUGGCAGAUUACAAUGCUCUCAAUGCUUUCUGGAAUCGUGAGAUUGCACCGCUCUCAAUGUUUUCUGGAGUCAGGUGGUGAAUCAGGUGGAACUUUUUGAAUGGUCUGGAGCCGGCAGUCUGGACCAGUGAAGGACUGAGCCCUUCAACACCUGCAGAUGACACCAUCCUGCAUGCUGCACAGAGAUUGAGAUGCCAAGAAAACUACUCAGAGCUUCUGGAUCACAGUGCCCAACACUCCCACCAUCCACCCAUCUGCCCAGGU